CCUACGGGAGGCAGCAGUGAGGAAUAUUGGUCAAUGGACGAGAGUCUGAACCAGCCAAGUAGCGUGUAGGAUGACUGCCCUAUGGGUUGUAAACUUCUUUUAUAUGGGAAUAAAACGUUCCACGUGUGGGAUUUUGUAUGUACCAUAUGAAUAAGGAUCGGCUAACUCCGUGCCAGCAGCCGCGGUAAGACGGAGGAUCCGAGCGUUAUCCGGAUUUAUUGGGGUUAAAGGGAGCGUAGGUGGAUUGUUAAGUCAGUUGUGAAAGUUUGCGGCUCAACCGUAAAAUUGCAGUUGAAACUGGCAGUCUUGAGUACAGUAGAGGUGGGCGGAAUUCGUGGUGUAGCGGUGAAAUGCUUAGAUAUCACGAAGAACUCCGAUUGCGAAGGCAGUUCACUGGACUGCAACUGACACUGAGGCUCGAAAGUGUGGGUAUCAAACAGGAUUAGAUACCCCUGUAGUC
rnacentral:rRNA from 1 species